CCAGCACUUGCGGUAAUUCCAGCUCCAAUAGCGUAUAUUAAAGUUGUUGCGGUUAAAAAGCUCGUAGUUGAAUUUCUGCCGAGGACGACCUACCCACCUUAGGGUGCGUGUCAGUGUUGACCGAGGCAUCCUCCUAGUUGCGUCCGUGCUUCACUGUGCGGUUCGUUCUAGGACUUUUACUUUGAGGAAAUUAGAGUGUUUCAAGCAGGCUUUCGCCUUGAAUAAUUUAGCAUGGAAUAAUAAUUUAGGACUUCGGUUCUAUUUUGUUGGUUUCUAGAACUGAAGUAAUGAUUAAUAGGGACAGUCGGGGGCAUUCGUACUCAACAGUCAGAGGUGAAAUUCUUGGAUUUGGUGGAGACGAACUACUGCGAGAGCAUUUGCCAAGGAUGUUUUCAUUGAUCAAG
rnacentral:rRNA from 1 species